ACUCUCAAAGUGGCUGUGAAAUG
rnacentral:miRNA from 11 species